ensembl:lncRNA
GCAGCAUCACGUUGUGGCGGUGCUUUGCUGCAGGAGGGACUGGUGCACUUCACAAAAUAGAUGGCAUCAUGAGGCAGGAAAGUUAUGUGGAUAUAUUGAAGCAACAUCUGAAGACAUCAGUCAAGAAGUUAAAGCUUGGUCGCAAAUGGGUCUUCCAAAUGGACAACGACCCCAAGCACACUUCCAACGUUGUGGCAAAAUGGCAAAAAACUUCUUGUAACUAGGGGGCAGCAUUUUCAUUUUUGGAAAAAUAACAUUCCCAAUGUAAACAGGCUAUUUUGUCAGGACAAGAUGCUAGAAUGCUCAGGGAUUCAAUCUAGCAACCUUUACGGUUGCUGGCCCAACGCUCUAACCACUAGGCUUCCUGCCACCCUGGCAAAUUAGGGUUAAGUACCUUGCUCAAGGACACCUGUCAGCUCGGGUAUUCAAACCAGCAACCUUUCGGUUACUAGCCCAACGCUCUAACCUCUAGGCUACCUGCCGCCCAUGACCUUGUCACCACAUUCUACUAAUUCUCAUACAGCCAGGCUCAACCAUUAAACCCAAAUAGGCCUACUGAACGGAGCCUUGCUCAACCAUUAAACCCACAUAGGUCUAUUGAACGGAGCCUUGCUCAACCAUUAAACCCCCCUAGGUCUACUGAACGGAGCCUUGCUCAACCAUUAAAC